rnacentral:rRNA from 1 species
UCGGGAAUUUUGGGCAAUGGGCGAAAGCCUGACCCAGCAACGCCGCGUGAAGGAUGAAGUUUUUCGGAAUGUAAACUUCGUAAAAAUAGGAAGAAUAAAUGACGGUACUAUUUGUAAGGUCCGGCUAACUACGUGCCAGCAGCCGCGGUAAUACGUAGGGACCAAGCGUUGUUCGGAUUUACUGGGCGUAAAGGGCGCGUAGGCGGCAAUUCAAGUCAUCUGUGAAAUCUCCGGGCUUAACUCGGAACGGUCAGAUGAUACUGCUUUGCUAGAGUGCAGAAGGGGCAAUCGGAAUUCUUGGUGUAGCGGUGAAAUGCGUAGAUAUCAAGAGGAACACCUGAGGUGAAGACGGGUUGCUGGGCUGACACUGACGCUGAGGCGCGAAAGCCAGGGGAGCAAACGGGAUUAGAUACCCCAGUAGUCCCUGAGCGGGCUGGCAAGGCGCAU